UACAGAGGGUGCAAGCGUUAAUCGGAAUUACUGGGCGUAAAGGGUGUGUAGGUGGUUAGGUAAGUUAGAUGUGAAAUCCCCGGGCUUAACCUGGGAACUGCGUUUAAAACUGCUUAGCUAGAGUAUUGCAGAGGAUAGUGGAAUUUCCAGUGUAGCGGUGAAAUGCGUAGAUAUUGGAAGGAACACCAGUGGCGAAGGCGACUAUCUGGGCAAAUACUGACACUGAGACACGAAAGCGUGGGGAGCAAACAGG
rnacentral:rRNA from 1 species